rnacentral:rRNA from 1 species
GACGAACCGUGCAAACGUUGUUCGGAAUCACUGGGCUUAAAGGGCGCGUAGGCGGGCCAGCCAGUCUGUGGUGAAAGCCUCCAGCUUAACUGGAGAAGUGCCGUGGAUACUGCUGGCCUCGAGGAGGAUAGGGGCAUCUGGAACGGUCGGUGGAGCGGUGAAAUGCGUUGAUAUCGACCGGAACUCCGGUGGCGAAGGCGAGGUGCUGGGUCCUUUCUGACGCUAAUGCGCGAAAGCCAGGGGAGCAAACGGG